UACGAAGGGGGCUAGCGUUGCUCGGAAUUACUGGGCGUAAAGGGCGCGUAGGCGGACAUUUAAGUCAGAGGUGAAAUCCCGAGGCUCAACCUCGGAACUGCCUUCGAUACUGGCGAUCUUCGAGUCCGGGAGAGGUGAGUGGAACUCCGAGUGUAGAGGUGAAAUUCGUAGAUAUUCGGAAGAACACCAGUGGCGAAGGCGGCUCACUGGCCCGGUACUGACGCUGAGAUGCGAAAGCGUGGGGAGCAAACAGG
rnacentral:rRNA from 1 species